rnacentral:rRNA from 1 species
GAGUUUGAUCUUGGCUCAGAUUGAACGCUGGCGGCAGGCCUAACACAUGCAAGUCGAGCGGAUGACGGGAGCUUGCUCCUUGAUUCAGCGGCGGACGGGUGAGUAAUGCCUAGGAAUCUGCCUGGUAGUGGGGGACAACGUUUCGAAAGGAACGCUAAUACCGCAUACGUCCUACGGGAGAAAGCAGGGGACCUUCGGGCCUUGCGCUAUCAGAUGAGCCUAGGUCGGAUUAGCUAGUUGGUGGGGUAAUGGCUCACCAAGGCGACGAUCCGUAACUGGUCUGAGAGGAUGAUCAGUCACACUGGAACUGAGACACGGUCCAGACUCCUACGGGAGGCAGCAGUGGGGAAUAUUGGACAAUGGGCGAAAGCCUGAUCCAGCCAUGCCGCGUGUGUGAAGAAGGUCUUCGGAUUGUAAAGCACUUUAAGUUGGGAGGAAGGGCAGUAAGUUAAUACCUUGCUGUCUUGACGUUACCGACAGAAUAAGCACCGGCUAACUCUGUGACAGCACG